rnacentral:rRNA from 1 species
UGAGUAACCUGCCCUUAACUCUGGGAUAAGCCUGGGAAACUGGGUCUAAUACCGGAUAUGACCUCCU